rnacentral:rRNA from 1 species
UGUUAGGGAAGAACAAGUGCCGUUCAAAUAGGGCGGCGCCUUGACGGUACCUAACCAGAAAGCCACGGCUAACUACGUGCCAGCAGCCGCGGUAAUACGUAGGUGGCAAGCGUUGUCCGGAAUUAUUGGGCGUAAAGGGCUCGCAGGCGGUUUCUUAAGUCUGAUGUGAAAGCCCCCGGCUCAACCGGGGAGGGUCAUUGGAAACUGGGGAACUUGAGUGCAGAAGAGGAGAGUGGAAUUCCACGUGUAGCGGUGAAAUGCGUAGAGAUGUGGAGGAACACCAGUGGCGAAGGCGACUCUCUGGUCUGUAACUGACGCUGAGGAGCGAAAGCGUGGGGAGCGAACAGGAUUAGAUACCCUGGUAGUCCACGCCGUAAACGAUGAAGUGGGUAAGUGUUAGGGGGUUUCCGCCCC